UACGAAGGGGGCUAGCGUUGCUCGGAUUGACUGGGCGUAAAGGGCGCGUAGGCGGUUCGCACAGUCAGACGUGAAAUUCCUGGGCUCAACCUGGGGGCUGCGUUUGAUACGUGCGGACUUGAGUGCGGAAGAGGGUCGUGGAAUUCCCAGUGUAGAGGUGAAAUUCGUAGAUAUCGGGAGGAACACCAGUGGCGAAGGCGGCGAUCUGGGAAGAUACUGACGCUGAGGUGCGAAAGCGUGGGGAGCAAACAGG
rnacentral:rRNA from 1 species